rnacentral:rRNA from 1 species
AAUAUUGGACAAUGGGGGCAACCCUGAUCCAGCCAUGCCGCGUGUGUGAAGAAGGCCUUCGGAUUGUAAAGCACUUUAGGUUGGGAGGAAGGGCUUGAGGUUAAUACCCGGAGGUUUUGACGUUACCAACAGAAUAAGCACCGGCGAACUCUUUCCCAGCAGCCGCGGUAAUACAGAGGGUGCAAGCGUUAACCGGAAUUACUGGGCGUAAAGCACGCGUAGGUGGUUCAGUAAGAAGGGUGUGAAAUCCCCCGGGUUAACAUGGGAAGUGCUUUCAUAACUGCUGAACUAGAGUACAGUAGAGGGUAGUGGAAUUUCCUGUGUAGCGGUGAAAUGCGUAGAUAUAGGAAGGAACACCAGUGGCGAAGGAGACUACCUGGACUGAUACUGACACUGAGGUGCGAAAGCGUGGGGAGCAAAC